GUUCUUUUUCAGGUUGGGGUAUGUAUCGCUUGUAUGCUGACGACUUCCAUCGUCCCAGUCUUUUAAUAAUGUGUACAGGUACAUUUUUUGAUUCAAGGCUGCUGUUUCUGCACCUAUUUUUAAAUGAAUGGCCAGUGAAAACCAAGGGAUCGGAACCAAUUUUUGUAAACAGAGUCCUUGCAUAUAGAAUGAAUUUUGAUGUUUUUAACGGGUUACCAUGUAAGCUCACUAGAGGAGCAUUUUUUGCCUAAUCUAUCAGAGUUAGUCGAUACUGGUCAAGUAAAUGAACAGGGCACAACUUGUUACCUGUGGGGAAUAUUUGUAUG